rnacentral:rRNA from 1 species
UUGAACGCUGGCGGCAUGCUUUACACAUGCAAGUCGAACGGCAGCGGGGGCUUCGGCCUGCCGGCGAGUGGCGAACGGGUGAGUAAUACAUCGGAACGUGCCCGAGAGUGGGGGAUAACGGAGCGAAAGCUUUGCUAAUACCGCAUACGAUCUACGGAUGAAAGCAGGGGACCGCAAGGCCUUGCGCUCAUGGAGCGGCCGAUGGCAGAUUAGGUAGUUGGUGGGAUAAAAGCUUACCAAGCCGACGAUCUGUAGCUGGUCUGAGAGGACGACCAGCCACACUGGGACUGAGACACGGCCCAGACUCCUACGGGAGGCAGCAGUGGGGAAUUUUGGACAAUGGGCGCAAGCCUGAUCCAGCCAUGCCGCGUGCAGGAUGAAGGCCUUCGGGUUGUAAACUGCUUUUGUACGGAACGAAAAGACUCCUUCUAAUAAAGGGGGUCCAUGACGGUACCGUAAGAAUAAGCACCGGCUAACUACGU